AGAUACCCUAUUAUUUUAAUUGUAAAAAUUUUAUGUUUGGAUACUAAUAGUUAUGAACUUAAAAUCUAAAGAAUUUGGCGGCAUUUCAUUCUAUUCAGAGGAACCUACCCCGUGAUUGAUACUACACGAUUGGUAAUACUUGAUUUAUUUGUUUGUAUAUCUCCGUUGUUAUGAAGAUCUUUUUAGAGUUUAUAAUCUUCUUAAUUUUAAAUUGAGAAGAAUUUCAGGUCAAGGUGCAGCUAUAAUUAAGAGGAGUUGGGUUACAAUAAUUUAUUAUUUUACGGUUUUAUUGAUGUAAAUUUGUAAUUAAGUUGGAUUUGAUAGUAAUUUGAUU
rnacentral:rRNA from 1 species